GGCCUAUUAGCUCAGCUGGUUAGAGCGUCGUGCUAAUAACGCGAAGGUUGCAGGUGCAGGUUCGAGACCUGCAUGGGCCA